UAGGGAAUCUUCGGCAAUGGACGAAAGUCUGACCGAGCAACGCCGCGUGUAUGAAGAAGGCCUUCGGGUUGUAAAGUACUUUCAGCGGGGAGGAAGGGAGUAAAGUUAAUACCUUUGCUCAUUGACGUUACCCGCAGAAGAAGCACCGGCUAACUCCGUGCCAGCAGCCGCGGUAAUACGGAGGGUGCAAGCGUUAAUCGGAAUUACUGGGCGUAAAGCGCACGCAGGCGGUUUGUUAAGUCAGAUGUGAAAUCCCCGGGCUCAACCUGGGAACUGCAUCUGAUACUGGCAAGCUUGAGUCUCGUAGAGGGGGGUAGAAUUCCAGGUGUAGCGGUGAAAUGCGUAGAGAUCUGGAGGAAUACCGGUGGCGAAUGCGGCCCCCUGGACGAAGACUGACGCUCAGGUGCGAAAGCGUGGGGAGCAAACAGG
rnacentral:rRNA from 1 species